CUUCAAACUUCAUCAUUUGUGAUUGGCUUAUAAAAAUAAAUCCCGCUGCAGGCCCCGUGCGUUCGUGGUGACCUCAAUAUGCACCAUCUUGCAUGUGUGCAGUUGGAAAUAACUAUGACAUGCCUAGAUUGCAUGUCGGUUUGUAAAUGACCUAAACAAUUUGCAUACAACCUUUGAGAAGAGUCAAGCGGACGACGACUCACAAAGCUCAUAUUUUGAUAAAAUACAACCAUGGACACACGCCUAAUAGGCAAAUGGACAACAUUAAACGCGGCGACAUGCUAUGUUUUCUGAAUGGAGUGUAUACGGUGACUAUAGCGUGCUUCUUAUGGGGAUUACUUAUUCGUAUAUGGAUUAUUGUACAUUCAACGUUCGUUUCAUUGUACACCUAUAUGCUCCAUAACAAACUAUCGAAUACUCGCCAAUAUUUGCCAUCUGAUAAACGCAAGUAAAACUAGUGAAUGAUUAUACGUGACCUAUGACCUAUCGUCUGUCGUUAUGAUGAUUAAAGCACACUCAAGUUGUCUUAAAAGGUGCUGUUACCAACGUUUGCUUAUAAUCGGAUGUCUGUAUUUUGGCACCUUUUCUGAUUAAAUAUCUCGUCUAUCUCAAAUGUGGCGUCGCCAAGCAAAGAAAGUAUGCCCCUGGAGUGUAGAAAAGGCGUCACAGCAUAUAUGUUAAGCUAAAGAUAAAGAAAUACUAACUCCGUCAAAAAAAACCUCAAGUUUUAUAGAGAGAAAAAAUCUCUCAAAAACUCGGUGACAAGAGCAAUAACUUAAAAAUACCCCAAAACUGUUAACCGACGGACAGAUCAACACGUGUGACAACAUGAUACUCCAACGUGUGGACAUAUACAAAUUAUAUACUUUCCACGUCCAUUACUACAUGCAGUAGACAUUGAAUUGUACAUUUCUAUCAACAUCUACUGGGAGGAAACCCCUUAAGAAGUCCAAAUCCACUUUCACUUGAUACAAGAAAUCUACAAAGGCUUCCCUAAUUUCAUCAAUUUAAUGUACCUGCAGUGUCUGUCAAGAACCAAUUCUUCAGAAAUACUCAUGAAUAGUACGGGGGUGAAGGUGGCUAAGUGGGUAAGACGCUGUCUCGCUAGCUUGGAGGUCGGGUCUUCGAUCCCCGCAUUGGCCGAGAAAGUUCAUCCAGAUUUUCCGGCGUGGUUCCCCCUUGUCAGUGAUGCAGGACGGAGGGCUCGACAAUGGCAGCUGUUUAGUCGUUCUGAUGGGAUGAAAAACCGAGGUCCAGUAUACACAUUGGCGUGCACGUAAAAGAUUCCUUGACAGUUGGAAUUCGAUAUAAGAGUAGGCCGUAGUGCCGAUGUCCGGGCAAAAUUUCCCUCAAAGCACACUGUAUGGCGUAUGCCCGUCGUCAUUAGCCCAGUUCGGAGCAAAACAGUAGGAGGUUUAACCCCAUUUCAUUUCAUUUCAUUUCAUGAUUUUAAUUAAUCAGGUAUACAUAUUAGUGAAGUCCUUUUAGCCACAAACUUCCUGUUUCAGCUAUAGUUGUAUGGUUUGCUAUAUCUACAACAAUGUGCAAAAUUAUGUACAUUUUGUCAUGUAUAACGUACCACGAUACCCGAAAGAAUAUUACAUACUUAGGUUCAUUAUGCCAAUCCCUGUAUUAAUUGAGUGUUCAAAUUGUAUUCACUUUUUCCACAAUUUGUUGAAAAUUGCCCAUAUACUGCGAAGCGAUUAUGUCAUUCUUUCCAACCUAGGAAACCCCCAAGAACCAAAUAUUUAGUAAAACAAAAGAAAGUAUUUGUGAAAAAGAACUGGCAUGUUAUUGCACUAAAAGUUUUAUGUGUACCUGCUAUCCGUUUCUUGAGAGAAACUUUAUAUUAUCCAAUGAUUCUGAUAGCCCAACACAUGAAGUUAUCAGAAAAAUGGAGGCUCAUCUAUCUUCAGCAACUAGGUAAUGUUUGAGAAACGCCCUGAGGAAGGAUAUGACGUCAAUACUACUCUUCUUUCCAUGACAGAAGGUGAGAAAAACGAAUAUGCCUUCUGGAUAAUUUGGACCGCUAUCACAGCAUUAUCAAGAUGAUGAUAUUCAGCCAAUUGAGAAUAUCGAAACAUCUGAUGCUAGUGAUGAUGACUGGGAACCUCCUCAUAAUGUUUGACUGACCCCUCAGAAACGAUGGUUCUGUUAUGGCUGAAAAGUACAUCCUUUCAGAUGACUGAAGUCAGAAUGUGAACAUUUUUGUUGGUGAUUCUGAAUUUCACCGUUUUUUCAAAUUUUUUGAAAAUGAUAUUAUAUUGCCUUAAAAUUAUUGAUAAUGUUUAAUUAAUUUUCGAUAUUUAGUGUUGAUUGUUUCAAAUGAAUAUACAAUAUAUGAAA